UAGUGAUGAUGAGGAUUGUCUUUGAGGAGAGAUUUGAAUCUUUCUCAUUCUUUGUAUAGAUUCUCCCCUUCUUGCUGCUUAAAACUCAAUAUUGUGUUUGUCAAUCU